rnacentral:misc_RNA from 1 species
GACUGGGUGAAGGUCGGCUGGCCGGCGAGGGAGAAGGUCAAGAAGUUACAUUCAGAUUUAGACUUCGUUGAGCAGUGCACAAAAUGUGAAAAGGAGGCUGUGAAUGUUUCCCUGGAAAACCUGAGGACUUACCCCUUUGUGAAAGAGGGUUUGGAGAAGAAAACUCUGGCUUUAUAUGGUGGGCAUUAUGAUUUUGUUAAUGGUGAUUUUGAGAUAUGGGAGUAAACUUAAUUUAAGUUCGAG